rfam:Phytophthora parasitica INRA-310 unplaced genomic scaffold supercont2.91, whole genome shotgun sequence.
GCCCGUCUAGCUCAAUGGUCGAGCGCUGGCUUCGAAAGCCACAGGUCGGUGGUUCAAUUCCACCCGGGCA